UGAGAGGAAGGUCAGCAGGCAGACAGGGC
rnacentral:piRNA from 1 species